rnacentral:piRNA from 1 species
UCCCCAUUCCGUAGAAAUCAU